rnacentral:rRNA from 1 species
AACGAACGCUGGCGGCAGGCUUAACACAUGCAAGUCGAGCGCCUCGCAAGGGGAGCGGCAGACGGGUGAGUAACACGUGGGGAUCUGCCCAAUGGUACGGAAUAACUCAGGGAAACUUGUGCUAAUACCGUAUGUGCCCGCAAGGGGAAAGAUUUAUCGCCAUCGGAUGAACCCGCGUCGGAUUCGCUAGUUGGUGUGGUAAAGGCGCACCAAGGCGACGAUCCGUAGCUGGUCUGAGAGGAUGAUCAGCCACACUGGGACUGAGACACGGCCCAGACCCCUACGGGAGGCAGCAGUGGGGAAUAUUGGACAAUGGGCGCAAGCCUGAUCCAGCCAUGCCGCGUGAGUGAUGAAGGCCUUAGGGUUGUAAAGCUCUUUCGCCGACGAAGAUAAUGACGGUAGUCGGAGAAGAAGCCCCGGCUAACUUCGUGCCAGCCGCCGCGGUAA